CCCAGCUUCUGAAGGAUAACAGCUCAUCCGUUGGUCUUAGGAAC
rnacentral:tRNA from 1 species